AUUUCUGGUGAGUCAGCCAGGAGGCCGUGGAGAGGACAGGUUGGCUGUCUUCUUUGCCUGUAGGUGGUCUGGGGCCCCAGCAGUGGGAGACCUGUAACUUCAGGCACCACUGGAAGAACUUAAGUCCAGAGAAGGAAGCGGCUUUUCCACUCCCCAGAGCCCCUCCCUGGACAGUGCUUCAGAACCUGGAGGGUUGCAGGACAAUCUCAAGAGCAGCGCGCAGACAUCUGAACCGUGGUUAAUCUAGUUCUUCUAUUUGUCUACCUAUAGGUGCACUCAUAACAUUUUAAUUUAUUUCAUGUGUUGUCAUCGUUAUCCUCUGUAUUACUCUGAGAAAGAAGAUGUUACCUGUUUGUGAAAAAGAGGGUCACAGAAUAUGUGUGAACCAAUACUUCAUUUGAGACAGCCUCACAUGGAGAAUGUAAUGAGCCAUUCUCUUCUCACAUACAGUUAAAUAUGACAUUUGCUGCAGUUUGAUCACUAAGCAUAAGGAAGGAGAAGAAGGAGAAGGAGAAGGGAAAAAAGAAUCCUCAUCAUUAAUGCAAGUGGAGGGAAACUCUUCACCAAAGAAUUGAUCACAUCACGAAAGGUGAAAUCAUUACGGAAUUGAUUGCUUAAAUAUAUAAUUUGAAUCUGGAUUUAAAAAUAAUAAAUGUAAGUUUUUUCUUAAAAAAAAAAAAA
rnacentral:lncRNA from 1 species